ACAGUGUACCCUCCUACUUCACCCAGCCCUCCCUUCCACCCUGCCCCCAAAGCAGCCUCCUGCAGCCAAAUGGACUUCUCUCUGGGCCUUCGAUUGGGGCCUCGGAAUAAGAAGGCUACCUACCAGGAGCCCCCUCCGUCCUCUGGGCGUGGACCUCCAGCUACCUCUCCCUGCUUGCCCUGUCCCCCUACUGCCUGUGCCUGUCCCUGUCCCAGCUGCCCCCCUCUCCCAUGUUCCUGCACUGCUUGUCCCUCAGAUGCCGCCGCUGCUACCUGCCCUUCCUGUCCAGGCCUCCCUGGCCCACCCUGCACGUGUUCUUGCCCUCCUUGCCCUGCGUGUCCUCCCUCAAUGUGUCCGCAUACCUACUGCGUCCUCUGCUCGGGUCCAUCUAUGACCUACUGUCGCCCCUCGCCUUGCCCCAUUUACUCUUGUCACGGGAGCCAAACUGCCUGUCGGAGCUCCCACUUGGGCUGCAGUAGCGGCUGCAGCUGCAGCCGUGGUGUUGCAUGGGGGCCUCGGGACUCCACGGGCUACUGCGGUGUCUGCUUCAGGAGUCAGAAGAGGGCUUCCCGAGGGCUCUGUCAGAUAAUCUAGGCUGAGAGGUUGUGUCCCACAAAAGGUGGCUCAACUGGCCCGGGAGUUACUUCCUCAGACAAAGGCUCUGAACAGAGCCAGGAUGGAAUCAGGCAGACCCCUGACUGAUGGGGACAGGGAACCGCUCCUUGGACAUUUGAUUUUGUGUGUCAUCCUGCUGGUUCCAAAACCUGCUCCUGCAAAAGUGUCUUCAGAGCCUUGCUUGCAGUUCUUUAAAGACUCUUACUCCAGGUUGGCCUUAAACUCUGUCUUCUUCCACCACAGCCUCCCCAGUGCUGGGGGUGUUAGAUGUGUACCACAGUGCCUCUGUGAUUCAUGGAGAACUUUACAGUGGAGGAAUCAUGAUGCCACCACCUGAGUCCACUGAUGAAGCUUAGCAUCUAUAAAUGUGACAGAGCCGGGCACAGACACCCUUUGCCUGCUGUCAUUGAUGCAGUCUGAAGCAUCCAACACUGCCUAGAAAAGAUGCUGGCCAAAGAAGCAAACAAGCCUCUCAACAUGAAUUAAAUCAAACCCUCAGGGCUGUUUUGUGUGUGCGUGUUCUUGAGUGUGGCACGUGCACAUCCUGUGUGUGUGUGUGCAGGCAUUCCUGGAGAGCAAUCCUCAGAGCAUUGUCCACCUUGAUUUUUAGAUUUAUUUAUUUAUUAUAUGUAAGUACACUGUCGCUGUCUUCAGACACAUCAAAAGAGGGCAUCGGAUCCCCUUACAGAUGGUUGUGAGAUCUGUGGGAUUUGAACUCAGGACCUCCGGAAGAGCAGUUAGUGUUCUUAACCACUGAGCCAUCUCGCCAGCCCGGUUUUUACCUUUUUAUUUAUUUGUUUAUUUAUUUAUAACAUAAUCUCUCACUAGGUCCUGUCUCUGCAUCUUCGGCUCUGAAAUUACACUCUUGCCACUAUCAAUGCCCACAGUUUUAAUCCGGGUUCUGAGGAUUAAACUCAUAUCCUGUUUGUAUGCCAAACAAGUGCUUUACUUCCUCAAGUAACUCCUCAGUCCCUUAUUUGAUGAGAGAUGCAGGAGAUGGAGAAGCAUAAAUGACACGAGGAAGCAAGUCGACUCCGGUAAACUGUGGGCGAUGUUCAAGAGAAUCUGACCCAGUUACCUAAAUAAGUCAUUGGCUGUGGGGGAAAAGAGAAGGAGCUCAAAGCACAGAUACAGAGCUGAGAAUAUGCUUCAGUGACAGAGCCCAUAUGUAGGGCCAUAAAGCCCCCUACACAUAGGGUGUGAGGGUGUGGACAACCACAUGGAAUGUAUGGAUCUCUUUCGUUCAAGACUUGGGGAUGGGAACCAUAAAGAUGUCUUAGAAGUCGAGAACAUUUAACUGUAGACUGGGUUGUAGUUUUUCUUUAUGAGACAGGAUCUGAUUAUACAGUCCUGGAUGGUCUGGAACUUGCUAUAUGGAUCUAGCUGGUCUUGGAUCACUCACAGUGAUCCACCUGCCUCUGCCUUUCUAGUGCUAGGGUUAAAUGUGUCAUCAUUCCCAGUUUGUGUCCUAUAGUUUUAAAUUUUACUCUGGGGUUGUUAGUGAACUAGCUUACUUGGUUUAAAAUGUCUCAGUGCAGAGGGCAGAAGUGGGAGCGGCAGACUGUAUCAUUGUUGGAUUAAAUGUGAACGGGAUCGUGAACAUUUUAGUAAUAAAAUACUGAAUGAAA